GGUUGUCUCCAGGCAGAGACAUAAGGUUCUGGUUGUCUGAGGGAAGAAACUCCCUGAUUGGUUUAUUUAUUUUAUUUAACAUAUAUUUAUACUGCCCAAAACGCAAGUUCUCUGUAUCCAAAUGUAUCCCUUUGAAACUGGAUAAAAGGGAGAGUUGAACAGGCAGGAGAAGGGUGGCUGGGGGAGAAGAGUUCUGUGAGAGAAUGCUGCUGAGAGUUGUAUGAGCCAGAAGGCCGGAAAGCCAGCAGGACCAGCAAAAAAAAUUAUCAUAGAAUAAUGGAACAAUUUGGACUUCUGGGGAGCAUUGCUGGACUGCUGAAAGCCCACAGAGCAUGAAUGGAAAGCUGAGAUGCUGUGAUUGCGACUGAGAUGCUUUCACUCAAAAUGGCCUAAAUGCACACUAAAACUGCAUGUUAUUUUUAGUAUGGUGUACCUGUGGCUAAUCCCAUGCGUGGAAACUCUUGCGUGAGUUCAACAGCAACGCCGCAGAUGGAAGCAUCUUUGGUGAUGGCAAAAGAAGGAGAAGUGGCACAUCCCUGAACAGUCUGCUUGAGUCCACUCAAGUGAGGACUGAAAAAAAGCCUGGUAGGUAAAUAAAA